AAUAUAAAAAGCUUGUGCAGCCUGAAUCCAACAAGCAUUCCUGCAUACAACUUUGUCAGGCUUAAUUCAAACCAAAUUCUACAAAAAUGUUCAAAAUCUUCUUCUUGUUGUUCGCUGCUUUGUUGGCUUUGGCCACAGCUGCUCCAUCCCCUGUAGCUUCUCCUGAGCCCGCACCAGCUCCUCAAGUUUACUAUAGCGGUUAUCCUGCCUACACUGGUUAUGCUGCUCCAGCAGUUUACUAUGGUUAAGGGAGUUUGUUUGUUAACAUUGAUGAUUGGAUUGCCUAUACUGAAACGGAUUUUACGGAUUGAAAAUUGUAAACAUGUCUUGGUCUCAUGUUCAUGUUUUAUCUAAGUUUAAGUUUAUUUGUUUUAAUUAAAAGCAUUUAAAAAAUUAAAAA